rnacentral:lncRNA from 1 species
UAGCAACAUUUCAGCAAUAUGUUUCCAUUGUGCAUUACAAUUAGGAAAAUAUUUAACUAUAAGCUCUUUAUAUUCCUCUUUUUCCAUGUAAUUACAUGUAGGAAUCACAAGGUUUGAUCUGCUUGGAGACUUUGGACGGUAUAACUGGCUUGGCAGUUUCCACAUUGUUUUCCUGUACAAUAUGCUUUUUGCUGGACUCACAUCCGCCUGCCUCAUCAACACAGUCACAUGGGCCUUGCAAAGAGAACUCAUCCGUGCCUUUGGUCUCCACAGACUGCCUCUGACUGUGUCUCGAUCAACUAUCCCCCUCAAACUACUCCUAGCCAAUGGGCUCUCAAAGAUUCAUUGAAGAGCAAUCAGCUUUUUGAUCUAUCAUUGGCUACUGAAGCCUUUUACCUUCUGGAGAAGGUUCUGGAUCCCAGUCUAUGGCUUCUCUAUUGGACCAGAGCUAUUUUGUGUGCAUUUUAGGUAAACAAUAGUCACCAAAGAUGUUUACAAAGUGUGCCUGAACCAUAUACGUUGACCGAUGGGACCUUCUAAGUGGGAUUCUGCAACUGCAGUUUUAUGCGUAGUAAUAUUUACGAUUAGUACUGCAUUUAAUAAAGGGAUGUCAAAUCACUGGACGCCUUGAACAAAUGCCAUAUGAAACAAUGGCUACAGAGGACUUUGACAUGCGUCCAGACAGGAGAGCUAUUUCAGAGGAUGACAUCACAGCCAUGACCACGUUUCCUUUUCCUGGUGGUGGAAUGAGAGUGUUGAGUUGUCCUGGUGGGCCCCCACGCUUUCCCCUUGUAUAUCACUAUUUUUAGUGUCAUCCAGUGAAUUCAGUUCUGUUGGUCCUUAUUGCACUGGCAUUGGAAGUCCAGUCUGACGGGGUUUGUCUGCUUCUGAAUGAAGUGAAGAUCCUUGAGAAAAGGGAUGAAAGGAUAACAAGUGACCGUGAUCUUGAAGAUGAUGUUCACUGAGAAAACAAAUGGGGUUCUAGUUUGUAAAAUACACUUUUUGUAGAGUUUAGGUUUUAAAAUGUAUGUUUAAAAAAAAUGGCUGACUGAUUUCAAUCUUUAGGCCAAGACAGCUGUGAAUGUUUGGGGAUUUUGUUCCCUUGUUAUAUUUAAUAUGUGAAUCUUUAAUGUGCAAUAUUGUAUUAUGAAACGUCGACACAAUCUAACUUGACCUCCUUCCAGAAACUUGUGCUGAUGACCAAAAGAAGGUGUUUGGCCCAAUUAAGAACACCUAGAUUGGGCAAUAAGUUCAAAGUUUUGUUAGUUCUUAUGUUUUGGGUUGAGCUAUAUAGAGGGACAAUCAACGCACAUGAACAUUUCUUGUUUCACGGACACCAAGUUGCUGUGAUUUUAUAAAUGUGGACUUUUUGAUUCGAUAAUCACUCGUUUUAUAUGGUGCAGUAUUAUGGUGUACACAUUUGCUGAGCAAACUGUUGUUUAUUCUUUUGUAUGAUUCAGUUAUUUGUGAAUUUGCUUCCGUAUCAGCAUAAUUUUUUAAACAAAUGUCCUUCGAGUAGUGGCCAGUAGAGGACAGUGUGCCACAAAUCCAUCAUUGCAACAUCUCUAUCCUUCAGAUUCUUCCUCAGCCAUAUUUUAAUAACAUGAUACUUGCAUAAAACAGAUUUUCUUUUUCUUUGAGUAUCUUUUACAGUAAUGUAUCUAUUCUAAGUUGAAUGUGAAUCAUUGCUUAAAAGGGAUAGUUAGCCAAAAAAAAUUAAAAUUGUCACAAUUUACUCUCCUUCAUGUUGUUCCAAACCUGCAUGACUUUGUUUCUUUUGUGGAACACAAAGUAAGAUAUUGUGUACAUUUGGGAACAUUUUGAAGAAUGUUGAAGACAUUUUAAAACAGCAUUGGACCUCACUGACAACAGAUAUUUUUCAAAAUAUCUUUUGUGUUCAUACAGGUUUGUACCAAAGUGAGCAUAGGUUAAAUAAUGACCAUUUUCAUUCCUUUGAGUGUUUUUUCUAUUCUCAUAAAAUGCUUUUUUACAGCUCAGAAAAACUGGAUUCAUGAUGACAGACUGUCCUGCAUUACUGGAUCAUAUAUGGAUGUCUUUUUUACUUCAUCAUUAGAGAAUUCUUUCAGGAAACAAAGAAAAUACAGUGAGCAUUGCUCAUUUUUAAAAAGAAACUCCUGGCAUUUUAAUUGUUUGUUUAAAUGUUAAGCUGCAUCCUUUAAGGCAAGGUUAGCAACUGUGACAAACCAUUUCUUUUCAUUCCCUUCGAAAUGCAGAGAAAAGAACAAUAAAUGUGUUUACACCGGUUUUUCCAAGCAAUGUGUCAUUUGUGAGUCAUUUUAACCCCAUUUUUGUUUCUGGAU